rnacentral:rRNA from 1 species
AUGGCUGGUCCGGCGAAGGCGUCGUGGAUGGUGGCCAUGAGCGUGGGCGCCGUGGAGGCGCUCAAGGACCAGGCUGGCCUCUGCCGCUGGAACUAUGCCCUCAAGUCCAUCCACCGGGCAGCCAAGGCCAACGUCCGCGCCAGCGUCUCGCAAGGCACGAAGCAGCUUCCGGCCUCCGUGGUGGAGAGGCGGCAAGCGGAGAAGGCCGAAGAGGAGCUGAGGACGGUCAUGUACCUCAGCUGCUGGGGCCCAAAUUAG